rnacentral:rRNA from 1 species
GACGAACGCUGGCGGCGUGCUUAACACAUGCAAGUCGAACGGAAAGGCCCUGCUUUUGUGGGGUGCUCGAGUGGCGAACGGGUGAGUAACACGUGAGUAACCUGCCCUUGACUUUGGGAUAACUUCAGGAAACUGGGGCUAAUACCGGAUAGGAGCUCCUGCUGCAUGGUGGGGGUUGGAAAGUUUCGGCGGUUGGGGAUGGACUCGCGGCUUAUCAGCUUGUUGGUGGGGUAGUGGCUUACCAAGGCUUUGACGGGUAGCCGGCCGGAGAGGGUGACCGGCCACAUUGGGACUGAGAUACGGCCCAGACUCCUACGGGAGGCAGCAGUGGGGAAUAUUGCACAAUGGGCGGAAGCCUGAUGCAGCGACGCCGCGUGCGGGAUGACGGCCUUCGGGUUGUAAACCGCUUUCGCCUGUGACGAAGCGUGAGUGACGGUAAUGGGUAAAGAAGCACCGGCUAACUACGUG